GUGCUUGCUUUGACAGCACAUAUACUAAAAUUGGAAUGGUACAGAGAAGAUCAGCAUGGCCCCUGAGCAAGGCUGACAUGCAAAUUCGUGAAGCGUUCCAUAUUUUU
rnacentral:snRNA from 1 species